rnacentral:rRNA from 1 species
GUUUGAUCCUGGCUCAGGACGAACGCUGGCGGCGUGCUUAACACAUGCAAGUCGAACGGAAAGGCCCUGCUUUUGUGGGGUGCUCGAGUGGCGAACGGGUGAGUAACACGUGAGUAACCUGCCCUUGACUUUGGGAUAACUUCAGGAAACUGGGGCUAAUACCGGAUAGGAGCUCCUGCUGCAUGGUGGGGGUUGGAAAGUUUCGGCGGUUGGGGAUGGACUCGCGGCUUAUCAGCUUGUUGGUGGGGUAGUGGCUUACCAAGGCUUUGACGGGUAGCCGGCCUGAGAGGGUGACCGGCCACAUUGGGACUGAGAUACGGCCCAGACUCCUACGGGAGGCAGCAGUGGGGAAUAUUGCACAAUGGGCGGAAGCCUGAUGCAGCAACGCCGCGUGCGGGAUGACGGCCUUCGGGUUGUAAACCGCUUUCGCCUGUGACGAAGCGUGAGUGACGGUAAUGGGUAAAGAAGCACCGGCUAACUACGUGCCAGCAGCCGCGGUGAUACGUAGGGUGCGAGCGUUGUCCGGAUUUAUUGGGCGUAAAGGGCUCGUAGGUGGUUGAUCGCGUCGGAAGUGUAAUCUUGGGGCUUAACCCUGAGCGUGCUUUCGAUACGGGUUGACUUGAGGAAGGUAGGGGAGAAUGGAAUUCCUGGUGGAGCGGUGGAAUGCGCAGAUAUCAGGAGGAACACCAGUGGCGAAGGCGGUUCUCUGGGCCUUUCCUGACGCUGAGGAGCGAAAGCGUGGGGAGCGAACAGGCUUAGAUACCCUGGUAGUCCACGCUGUAAACGGUGGGUACUAGGUGUGGGGUCCAUUCCACGGGUUCCGUGCCGUAGCUAACGCUUUAAGUACCCCGCCUGGGGAGUACGGCCGCAAGGCUAAAACUCAAAGGAAUUGACGGGGCCCCGCACAAGCGGCGGAGCAUGCGGAUUAAUUCGAUGCAACGCGUAGAACCUUACCUGGGUUUGACAUGGAUCGGGAGUGCUCAGAGAUGGGUGUGCCUCUUUUGGGGUCGGUUCACAGGUGGUGCAUGGCUGUCGUCAGCUCGUG